rnacentral:lncRNA from 1 species
GUUGAGAAGGCAAAGCAUUGGUACACCUAUUAAAACUUGUGACAUUUGUAGGUAUAGACUGCAAGGAAGAUCUCCAAAGACACAGAGGACCUGUCGAAAAUCACAGUGUUGGGUGCCUGUACACUGUGCUUUAGGAAACAUACUUACAACCAAAGUGAGUGGGUUGUGCUCGUUUUGGCUGGGAUAAAGCUGAUUGUUUUCAAAGUAGCUAGCAUGGGGCCAUGUUUUAGAUUUGUGCUGAAAAAAGUAUUGAUAAUGCAGAGGUGUUUCCAUUGCUGCUGAGCAGUACUUACGUAGAGUCAAGGCCUUUUCUGUUUUCCACACCUCCCACCAGUGAGCAGGCUGGGAGGGAACAAGAAGUUGGGAGGGGACACGGCUGGGACAGCUGACCCCAACUGACCAAAGGGAUUUUCCAAACCAUAUGACAUCAUCCUCAAUAUAUAAAGCUGGGGAAGAAGAAGGGAGGAGGGAUGUUCAGUGUUUGUCUUCCCAAGUAAACAUUACCUGUGAUGGAGCCCUGCUUUCCCGCGGAUGGCUGAACGCCUGCCUGCCCAUGGGAAGCAGUGAGUGAGUGAAUUCCUUGUUGUGUCUUGUUUGCAUGCACAGCUUUUGCUUUACCUAUUAAACUAUCUUUAUCUCAACCCAUGAGUUUUUUCACUUUUAAACUUCCUAUUCUUUCCCCCAUCCCACCAGAGGGGAGUAAGCAAACAGCUGAAUGGGGCUUAGUUGCCAGCGGGGGUUAAACCAUGACAGGGGCAUUAAGCAUCUCAUGUUUAAGCAAUGUUCCAGUGUCAUAUACCAGGGACAUGGUUAGGUGCUUGAAGAAAUCAACUUCCACAAUCCAGCUUGUGCUGAGUCCUUCUCUUAUUUCACAAUUCAACAGAAGAAAGAGAAGAUAGAGUAGUGAUUACUGCUGUUGUCUUGAGUGAGUUAUGUCACGUUACACUCUCCUCUGCACCUGAGCUGAACCACUGGGAACCCCUUUUAUGCUGUUGGCUUCUGCUCGGAUUUACAGUCUCCUCCAGCGACAAAUUUGCCAGACCUGGAAGCACACAAAAAUGGUAGGUUAAACUUUCAUUUCAAAUUUGCUCUUAGGUCUCUUUGACUGCAACUGUUGUGGAAGGCUUUCAAGACCAUUGUGCUUUUCUGCUUUGGCAAU